GUAAGGAAUAUUGGGCAAUGGGCGCAAGCCUGACCCAGCCAUGCCGCGUGAAGGAUGACGGCCCUAUGGGUUGUAAACUUCUUUUGUACGGGAAAAAACCACCGGUCGUGACCGGUGCUGAUGGUACCGUAAGAAUAAGCAUCGGCUAACUCCGUGCCAGCAGCCGCGGUAAUACGGAGGAUGCAAGCGUUAUCCGGAUUCAUUGGGUUUAAAGGGUGCGCAGGCGGAAUAAUAAGUCAGUGGUGAAAUCCUACGGCUCAACUGUAGAACUGCCAUUGAUACUGUUAUUCUUGAGUACACUUGAAGUGGGCGGAAUGUGUCAUGUAGCGGUGAAAUGCUUAGAUAUGACACAGAACACCGAUCGCGAAGGCAGCUCACUAAAUUGUAACUGACGCUCAUGCACGAAAGCGUGGGGAUCAAACAGGAUUAGAAACCCGGGUAGUCC
rnacentral:rRNA from 1 species